rnacentral:lncRNA from 1 species
CGUCGUCGGUUUUCCCCAAAUUUUAAAUGACGUGUCACCGGGAAAUGACAGCGUGGCGCCGGAUUUUGCACAGUUGGAAGCCGGAAUGAAAAAAAGAAACGACGCCGUUUCUAAUUAAAAGAAACGACGUCGUUUCGCCAUCCAUUAACACUCAGAUUUCGAAUUAAGCCCUCAUUUUUCGAUUAGGGCUAUACCCUUCCAGGGUUCUUCAUGAAAUCGAUGGAAUUGGAGAGAUUCAUGAGCGAAUCGGUGUAGAAGAAUAGUCCGCAUGCUUGUAAAGGAGUUUUCGACCUAAAAAAUAGGGAUAUUGAUUCGUAGCAAUGUCGUCUACUUCCUCUUCCUCAAAUUCGAGCUUCA